rnacentral:rRNA from 1 species
UGCGGACACGUGUGCACGUACUUAUCUGGGGAUAGCUUUCGAAGGAGAUAUACCCCGUAUNUGUUGAUGGCUCUUNCGACUUGAAACUCNGUGGNUAAAAAUUGGGCCGCGCAAAUAAAUAUGUGAAGUACGGUCCCCAGUUNUACAAUCUUAGGGGGCUGGAAAGGUGAAUCCCCAAUUGUACUGGAGAACCGGAACCAGGNUCUACGGGAAGGGCACAUGGAAGGAAUUUUGGGCCCAAUUGGGUGAAAAGCCUUGAAUUCCAACAUUCCCGGGGUUGAAAGGACNACUGCCCUAUGGGUUGUAAACUUCUUUUGUAUAGGGAUAAACCUACCCUCGUGAGGGUAGCUGAAGGUACUAUACGAAUAAGCACCGGCUAACUCCGUGCCAGCAGCCGCGGUAAUACGGAGGGUGCAAGCGUUAUCCGGAUUUAUUGGGUUUAAAGGGUCCGUAGGCGGAUCUGUAAGUCAAGUGGUGAAAUCUCCACAAGCUUAACUGUGGAAACUUGCCAUUGAUUACUGCCAGGGUCUUGAGUGUUGGUUGAAAGUUAGCUUGGAAUAAGUAAGUGUAACCGGUGGAAAAUUGGCAUUAGAAUUUUUA